GCAGUCGAGCGAAUGGAUUAAGAGCUUGCUCUUAUGAAGUUAGCGGCGGACGGGUGAGUAACACGUGGGUAACCUACCCAUAAGACUGGGAUAACUCCGGGAAACCGGGGCUAAUACCGGAUAAUAUUUUGAACUGCAUAGUUCGAAAUUGAAAGGCGGCUUCGGCUGUCACUUAUGGAUGGACCCGCGUCGCAUUAGCUAGUUGGUGAGGUAACGGCUCACCAAGGCGACGAUGCGUAGCCGACCUGAGAGGGUGAUCGGCCACACUGGGACUGAGACACGGCCCAGACUCCUACGGGAGGCAGCAGUAGGGAAUCUUCCGCAAUGGACGAAAGUCUGACGGAGCAACGCCGCGUGAGUGAUGAAGGCUUUCGGGUCGUAAAACUCUGUUGUUAGGGAAGAACAAGUGCUAGUUGAAUAAGCUGGCACCUUGACGGUACCUAACCAGAAAGCCACGGCUAACUACGUGCCAGCAGCCGCGGUAAUACGUAGGUGGCAAGCGUUAUCCGGAAUUAUUGGGCGUAAAGCGCGCGCAGGUGGUUUCUUAAGUCUGAUGUGAAAGCCCACGGCUCAACCGUGGAGGGUCAUUGGAAACUGGGAGACUUGAGUGCAGAAGAGGAAAGUGGAAUUCCAUGUGUAGCGGUGAAAUGCGUAAAGAUAUGGAGGAACACCAGUGGCGAAAGCGACUUUCUGGUCUGUAACUGACAC
rnacentral:rRNA from 1 species